rnacentral:lncRNA from 10 species
AAUGGGUCCGGACUUCCGGCGCCCUCUGGUGGCGGCCAUUUUGAUUGGUGUUGGAUUUAUUUGUAGGAGAGGCUCCUGAGCGCUAGGUCCGCACUGUGGUGACUGAACCCAGAAGUCGGGGAGCAGUUGUCCUCCGCUGCACAGAGGCUACUCUGGAGCUCUGUGACGGCGCCCAGCGUGACCCACUCCUGGGCCAGGAUACGGACCGUCGUGCCCAUAUCUCCUGGCUGGUCGCCCUAUCCUCCCGACUCUGCUUAAAACCACGUGGUUCGAUGGCUGCCGCGGCUACGCUGAGGCUCUCCGCUCAGGAGUCUCACUCUGUCAUCCAGACUGGAGUGCAGUGGCGUGAUCACAGCUCACCACAACCUCCGCCUACAGGAGAUAUUUUGAUACAGAAAUUAGCUGGGCAUGGUGGUACAUGCCUGUAAUCCCAGCUACUGAGGAGCUGAGGCAGGAGAAUUGCUUGAACCCAGGAGGCGGAGGUUGCAGUGAGCCGAGAUUGCACCACCCCACUCGAGCCUGGUGACAGAGUGAGACUCCAUCAC